UUAAAUUGAAGAGUUUGAUCAUGGCUCAGAUUGAACGCUGGCGGCAGGCCUAACACAUGCAAGUCGAACGGUAACAGGAAGAAGCUUGCUUCUUUGCUGACGAGUGGCGGACGGGUGAGUAAUGUCUGGGAAACUGCCUGAUGGAGGGUGAUAACUACUGGAAACGGUAGCUAAUACCGCAUAACGUCGCAAGA
rnacentral:rRNA from 1 species